GCCGUCGUAGCUCAGCUGGGAGAGCGACAGACUGAAGUAUUCACGAGAUCUGCAGGUCAUCAGUUCAAAUCUGGUCGACGGCA